rnacentral:tRNA from 1 species
GCCUGUUUGGCUCAGUGGAUAGAGCAUCAGUCUGUGAACUGAAAGGUCCCAGGUUCAAUUCUGGUCAGAGGCA